AAGGCAACUUAUGAGGGAGCU
rnacentral:siRNA from 1 species